rnacentral:rRNA from 1 species
UGACCUCAAAUCAGGUAGGGGUACCCGCUGAACUUAAGCAUAUCAA